CACGUCACUUCCUAUUUGUUGGCUUUUGGCGUUUUGGCGCGAUCAAUUGGUCCGCGAUUUGGUCAAAUGGUCACAUGUUUCUUGCUUUGCAAGAGACAACAUAAACUGAAAUGGUUCAGGUCUUUAAUUCUUGUACCAAGUUCAAGUGAAGAAUGGAGCAGAAGUUUGACUUUACGGAAAUGAUAGCAAUGUGAAAUCUUGGGCCAGGCAUGGAGAUACCCCUCCAUUUGGUGUAGUUCCCUCAGGACAGCUUUCCUGUACAUGUGCAAGCUCCUCGAUACAAGUGUACGUCUCGUGAAGUAAAGGAAAUGCCAGAUUUCAAUUUGCGUACUAAUUCAGCCCGGAUUGAUAGUGAAUAAUUCCAGGCAGGGUGUCAAUUAUGGUAGACCGUGUUCUGGACUGAAUAAAAUUGAAGAAUAGCGUCAAAGGUGCCAAUUAUAAUGGUACUACCUAUACUUCAAGACAGAAGCAAGAUUAGAGAAAAGGACCGUAAUGGAAUGGCUGGAAUACUACAAAUAUUUCUCUGUAAAGUGGUUAAUGAUGUUAUUUUAUAAGUGGCACAAAUUGUUAUUGCAUUAUAGUGAUUAUUCUAUUAAAAAUUGUCUGUAAAUCGAAAGGCUAAGAAAUUUGUAGUUGCCAAAUAGAUACAAAUGUAUAAUCAUUGUUACCUGUUCAUGGUCAACAAAUAAAUAAAUUAACUAAAAAUG